UACGGAGGGUGCAAGCGUUAUCCGGCUUCACUGGGUUUAAAGGGUGCGUAUGAGGGCAGGUAAGUCAGUGGUGAAAUCUCCAAGCUUAACUUGGAAACUGCCGUUGAUACUAUCUGUCUUGAAUACCGUGGAGGUGAGCGGAAUAUGUCAUGUAGCGGUGAAAUGCUUAGAUAUGACAUAGAACACCAAUUGCGAAGGCAGCUCGCUACACGAAUAUUGACUCUGAGGCACGAAAGCGUGGGGAUCAAACAGG
rnacentral:rRNA from 1 species